rnacentral:tRNA from 1 species
GACGCUGGAGCCGGAUGGCCAGGCCGCCGCCUGCAAAGCGGCAGAAGCGGGUUCGAUUCCCGUUGGCGUCU